GGGGAAUCUUGCGCAAUGGGCGAAAGCCUGACGCAGCAACGCCGCGUGCGGGAUGAAGGCCCUCGGGUCGUAAACCGCUUUCGACAGGGAAGAAAAUGACGGUACCUGUAGAAGAAGCCCCGGCCAACUACGUGCCAGCAGCCGCGGUAAUACGUAGGGGGCGAGCGUUGUCCGGAUUUAUUGGGCGUAAAGAGCUCGUAGGCGGUUAGCUAAGUCAGAUGUGAAAACUCAGGGCCCAACCCUGAGCCUGCAUUUGAUACUGGUUUGACUUGAGUCAAGUAGGGGAGUGUGGAAUUCCCAGUGUAGCGGUGAAAUGCGCAGAUAUUGGGAGGAACACCAGCAGCGAAGGCGGCACUCUGGGCUUGUACUGACGCUGAGGAGCGAAAGCAUGGGUAGCAAAC
rnacentral:rRNA from 1 species